GAUGAACGCUGGCGGCGUGCCUAAUACAUGCAAGUCGAACGCUGAAGGAAGGAGCUUGCUCUUUCCGGAUGAGUUGCGAACGGGUGAGUAACGCGUAGGUAACCUGCCUGGUAGCGGGGGAUAACUAUUGGAAACGAUAGCUAAUACCGCAUAACAGUAGAUGUUGCAUGAUAUCUACUUAAAAGGUGCAAUUGCACCACUACCAGAUGGACCUGCGUUGUAUUAGCUAGUUGGUGAGGUAACGGCUCACCAGGGCGACGAUACAUAGCCGACCUGAGAGGGUGAUCGGCCACACUGGGACUGAGACACGGCCCAGACUCCUACGGGAGGCAGCAGUAGGGAAUCUUCGGCAAUGGACGGAAGUCUGACCGAGCAACGCCGCGUGAGUGAAGAAGGUUUUCGGAUCGUAAAGCUCUGUUGUAAGAGAAGAACGAGUGUGAGAGUGGAAAGUUCACACUGUGACGGUAUCUUACCAGAAAGGGACGGCUAACUACGUG
rnacentral:rRNA from 1 species